GGGCCGCGGUCCUCCGCGGCCGCCCCCCUCCCCGGGGGGUGGCCAGCGCCCGCCAGAGGACCAUCAAACUCCAGUCAGUAAACGAUGCAGUCUGAAAAACAUUUAAUAAACUAAAACUUUCAACAACGGAUCUCUUGGUUCUGGCAUCGAUGAAGAACGCAGCGAAAUGCGAUAAGUAAUGUGAAUUGCAGAAUUCAGUGAAUCAUCGAAUCUUUGAACGCACAUUGCGCCCUUUGGUAUUCCGAAGGGCAUGCCUGUUCGAGCGUCAUUACAACCCUCAAGCUCUGCUUGGUAUUGGGCACCGUCCUUUGCGGGCGCGCCUCAAAGACCUCGGCGGUGGCGUCUUGCCUCAAGCGUAGUAGAACAUACAUCUCGCUUCGGAGCGCAGGGCGUCGCCCGCCGGACGAACCUUCUGAACUUUUCUCAAGGUUGACCUCGGAUCAGGUAGGGAUACCCGCUGAACUUAAGCAUAUCAAUAAGCGGAGGAA
rnacentral:rRNA from 1 species